rnacentral:rRNA from 1 species
CGGCGUUUUUACUUAGUAUAUCAUAGAUGAUAGCGUCUGGAGUAAGUUGAACAAGUUAUUAAGCAAUUAGUAACCUAGUAAACUAGCUCAAGUCCUGUUGUCUUGAUGUUUCUAUUACAAUUUAUUGUGGUUUAUAAUUAUUUAAAGGUAAUAAAAUGUCAACUUUAGUGUUGAAUCCAUCUAGCAAUGUUACACAUGUUAUAGACUAAUCCUGACUCAAUUACACACAUGGUACUUGUACCAUUUUUCUAGUACGACAAACACAACAUUUAAAAUAUGUUUACAGAAUUUUAAAUUUUUAAGCAUAAACGGUGGAUACCUCGACUCCUAAAUCGAUGAAGACCGUAGCAAACUGCGAUAAUUCACUUGAAUUGCAGCCUACUGGGAUAGUUGAAAUGUUGAACGCACAUGAUGACAUUGGUCCUUACGGAUUAAAUGUUAUACCUGGGUGAGAGUGGCUUUUAAACCAGUCAUAAUCAAAUGAUUUUCAAACACUUAGGUGAGCGAAUCUCUUUGAGAAUGAUUUGUAUAGCGAGUUAACUGUAAAGGUACCUUCCCGGUACUCGCGCACUAACGGACUAUACAUUUAUACGGUACUCCGUAGUAAUUGCUCACAGUUUUCUCACUGACCACUUUAUUAAACUACUUCCAUAUGGAUUUUAGUCAUUAAGGGUCGCUUUAGCGAGUUUAACUUUAGUAAUCUAACAAUUGAUUUAUCACUAGUUAGAGAGCUAUAACUUAACAGACCUAUUGCAACCUGACUUUAAUUCGGAUUUAAACCUAUAUUGUGUGUCGGUGUAGAAUAACAAUCUGUUUAGUCGGUUUGAUAAGCAUGGGAGUGCUACUCCUAUUAGUCUUUUUAUUAAACCCAUGACUUUAUAUGUUGCCUCACCUUGGUAAGACUACCCGCUGAACUUAAGCAUAUCAAAAAGCGGAGGAAA